CAGCCGCCGCGGGAAUACGUAGGCAGCGAGCGUUGUUCGGAAUUACUGGGCGUAAAGCGUGCGUAGGCGGUUGGCUAAGUUCGGUGUGAAAUCUCCCGGCUCAACUGGGAGGGUGCGCCGAAAACUGGCCGGCUAGAGUGCGGGAGAGGGAAGUGGAAUUCCUGGUGUAGCGGUGAAAUGCGUAGAUAUCAGGAGGAACACCGGUGGUGAAGACGGCUUCCUGGACCGUGACUGACGCUGAGGCACGAAAGCGUGGGGAGCAAACAGGAUUAGAUACCCCAGUAGUCCCUGUCUCUUAUAC
rnacentral:rRNA from 1 species